rnacentral:rRNA from 1 species
GACGAACGCUGGCGGCGUGCUUAACACAUGCAAGUCGAACGGAAAGGCCCCUUCGGGGGUCCUCGAGUGGCGAACGGGUGAGUAACACGUGAGUAACCUGCCCUUGACUUCGGGAUAACUUCAGGAAACUGGGGCUAAUACCGGAUAGGAAUCCUUGCUGCAUGGUGGGGGUUGGAAAGCUUCGGCGGUUUUGGAUGGACUCGCGGCUUAUCAGCUUGUUGGUGGGGUAGUGGCUUACCAAGGCUUUGACGGGUAGCCGGCCUGAGAGGGCGACCGGCCACAUUGGGACUGAGAUACGGCCCAGACUCCUACGGGAGGCAGCAGUGGGGAAUAUUGCACAAUGGGCGGAAGCCUGAUGCAGCAACGCCGCGUGCGGGAUGACGGCCUUCGGGUUGUAAACCGCUUUCAGCAGGGGCGAAGCUUGUGGUGACGGUACCUGCAGAAGAAGCACCGGCUAACUACGUG